AUUGAACGCUGGCGGCAUGCCUUACACAUGCAAGUCGAACGGCAGCACGGGUGCUUGCACCUGGUGGCGAGUGGCGAACGGGUGAGUAAUAUAUCGGAACGUACCUUAUUGUGGGGGAUAACGCAGCGAAAGCUGUGCUAAUACCGCAUAAUCCCUAAGGGGGAAAGCGGGGGACCGUAAGGCCUCGCGCAAUUAGAGCGGCCGAUACCUGAUUAGCUAGUUGGUGAGGUAAAGGCUCACCAAGGCAACGAUCAGUAGCUGGUCUGAGAGGACGAUCAGCCACACUGGGACUGGGACACGGCCCAGACUCCUACGGGAGGCAGCAGUGGGGAAUUUUGGACAAUGGGGGCAACCCUGAUCCAGCAAUGCCGCGUGAGUGAAGAAGGCCUUCGGGUUGUAAAGCUCUUUUGUCAGGGAAGAAACAGCAGCUCUAACACAGUAUGCGAAUGACGGUACCUGAAGAAUAAGCACCGGCCACUACGUGCCAGCCGCCGCGGUAA
rnacentral:rRNA from 1 species